UACAGAGGGAGCUAGCGUUAUUCGGAAUUACUGGGCGUAAAGCGCACGUAGGCGGCUUUGUAAGUUAGAGGUGAAAGCCCAGGGCUUAACCCUGGAAUUGCCUUUAAGACUGCAUCGCUAGAAUCGUGGAGAGGUGAGUGGAAUUCCGAGUGUAGAGGUGAAAUUCGUAGAUAUUCGGAAGAACACCAGUGGCGAAGGCGACUCACUGGACACGUAUUGACGCUGAGGUGCGAAAGCGUGGGGAGCAAACAGG
rnacentral:rRNA from 1 species